AGUGGGGGACAACAUUUGGAAACGAAUGCUAAUACCGCAUAAAAACUUUAAACACAAGUUUUAAGUUUGAAAGAUGCAAUUGCAUCACUCAAAGAUGAUCCCGCGUUGUAUUAGCUAGUUGGUGAGGUAAAGGCUCACCAAGGCGAUGAUACAUAGCCGACCUGAGAGGGUAAUCGGCCACAUUGGGACUGAGACACGGCCCAAACUCCUACGGGAGGCAGCAGUAGGGAAUCUUCGGCAAUGGACGAAAGUCUGACCGAGCAACGCCGCGUGAGUGAAGAAGGUUUUCGGAUCGUAAAACUCUGUUGGUAGAGAAGAACGUUGGUGAGAGUGGAAAGCUCAUCAAGUGACGGUAACUACCCAGAAAGGGACGGCUAACUACGUGCCAGCAGCCGCGGUAAUACGUAGGUCCCGAGCGUUGUCCGGAUUUAUUGGGCGUAAAGCGAGCGCAGGUGGUUUAUUAAGUCUGGUGUAAAAGGCAGUGGCUCAACCAUUGUAUGCAUUGGAAACUGGUAGACUUGAGUGCAGGAGAGGAGAGUGGAAUUCCAUGUGUAGCGGUGAAAUGCGUAGAUAUAUGGAGGAACACCGGUGGCGAAAGCGGCUCUCUGGCCUGUAACUGACACUGAGGCUCGAAAGCGUGGGGAGCAAACAGGAUUAGAUACCCUGGUAGUCCACGCCGUAAACGAUGAGUGCUAGAUGUAGGGAGCUAUAAGUUCUCUGUAUCGCAGCUA
rnacentral:rRNA from 1 species